rnacentral:rRNA from 1 species
UACGAAGGGGGCUAGCGUUGCUCGGAAUCACUGGGCGUAAAGCGCACGUAGGCGGACUCUUAAGUCGGUGGUGAAAUCCUGGAGCUCAACUCCAGAACUGCCUUCGAUACUGAGAGUCUUGAGUCCGAGAGAGGUGAGUGGAACUGCGAGUGUAGAGGUGAAAUUCGUAGAUAUUCGGAGGAACACCAGUGGCGAAGGCGGCUCACUGGCUCGAUACUGACGCUGAGGUGCGAAAGCGUGGGGAGCAAACAGG